rnacentral:rRNA from 1 species
GAUGAACGCUGGCGGCGUGCUUAACACAUGCAAGUCGAACGGAGUUUAAGAAGGAAGCUUGCUUUCAUUUUAAACUUAGUGGCGGACGGGUGAGUAACGCGUGAGGAACCUGCCCUUUAGUGGGGAACAACAACUAGAAAUGGUUGCUAAUACCGCAUAAUGUCGGAGUACCGCAUGACAUUCCGACCAAAGGAUUUAUUCGCUGAAGGAUGGCCUCGCGUCCGAUUAGAUAGUUGGUGAGGUAACGGCCCACCAAGUCUACGAUCGGUAGCCGAACUGAGAGGUUGAUCGGCCACAUUGGGACUGAGACACGGCCCAGACUCCUACGGGAGGCAGCAGUGGGGAAUAUUGGGCAAUGGGCGAAAGCCUGACCCAGCAACGCCGCGUGAAGGAUGACGUUCUUUCGGAUUGUAAACUUUCUUUAAAUUGGGAAGAACAAAAUGAC